CCGAGAAUUUUUCACAAUGGGCGAAAGCCUGAUGGAGCGACGCCGCGUGGGGGAUGAAUGGCUUCGGCCCGUAAACCCCUGUCAUUCGCGAGCAAACGUUAUUAUUUAAAAGAUGAUAGCCUGAUAGUAGCGAAAGAGGAAGGGACGGCUAACUCUGUGCCAGCAGCCGCGGUAAUACAGAGGUCCCAAGCGUUGUUCGGAUUUACUGGGCGUAAAGGGUGCGUAGGUGGUGGGGUAAGUCGGAUGUGAAAUCUCCGAGCUCAACUCGGAAAGUGCAUUGGAAACUACACUGCUCGAGGGUUGGAGGGGGGACUGGAAUACUUGGUGUAGCAGUGAAAUGCGUAGAUAUCAAGUGGAACACCAGUGGCUGACGCGAGUCCCUGGACAACUCCUGACACUGAGGCACGAAAGCUAGGGGAGCA
rnacentral:rRNA from 1 species